rnacentral:lncRNA from 1 species
AGGUCCCUUAACACAGAAAAUCAUUCCGUGAAAUAUCAAAUAUCAUUCUGUGAAUAGUGUGUCUUCUGUUUAUGUAUUCCUAGCUAUAGAAAGUUUAAGAGAGACCUAAACAAGAAGUUGCAUGGGUAAGGGCAACCAACCAGAAUAAACAGUCUCACACAAGAUGUUGGGAUAACCGAAGGCCACAACUUGUUUAUUGGUUACAAUGAUAACAGGGUUGGCAGCUAUGCAUGGGUCCUGGAUCAAGGAUCUAACAGCCCACUGCUGGCCGAUGCAACAAGAAAACAUCCCUGCCAGAUGAGUUGGGCAAGGUAUUAAAGGCUGGCUAGCAUCCCUGAAGGACAAGUUGUCCGCCAUUACUAAUCAACUCUUUAAAUGCAUACCUUCAGGAAACAGUUUUAGAAAGGUCUGUACACUCAAAUGAGAUAAUGAUUAUCAUCCAAAAGAUUUGGUCAGCUACUCAAAGUUGGGAUCCCUGGACUUUGCCAGUCCUUGAGUUGUUGGUUUCUGGUAUGUUUACAAGAAAGGACACAACUAUGGCACAUUGCUGGUCCCUUACACCAACUAAAUUAUAGCAGUUUGAGAGCACUUCAAUUGGAAUCCUGUAGAAUUGUUGUUUUAUUUUUUUCUCAGUUGGAAAUUUCUUAUUCACUCACCAGAAUAAAUCCCACAUCUCGUCCUGAGGCACAAAGUCGAGGAUUCCAAAGGAUGGUCCCUUGGCAAAUAAGUCAAGAAACCUAAGAAAAUCUCUGCGCACUACAAGGACCUCAUUGAUGGCUUAGACUCCGAAACCAAAAGUGGAGAAUUUAAACAUUUUAAGAAGACCCCAACGCUCAAAGAAACAGCUAUCCCACGCUCAGAGAAGCCUACCUGGAUGCAAAAAUCACAUACCUUCUAAGGGAAGUAACACCUCAAAAGCCAUAGCAAUGAAGCAACUCCUCCCAGAGAAGAAGGACCCAUGGCUGUAAAGGAUUCCCAUCUUACCUUACACAAUGAUACCAACCUCGCAAGGAAUUCUCAGACUGCAACCCCUGCCCACUUCCAAAAUUGACAAAUUGAAGACCAGCACAAAUUCAACAUUCUGACAUGGAAUAUUUCAGCGUGGAAGUCUUCCAUAAAAGAUCCCUCUUUCCUAGAAUAUCUGACCCAGCAUGAUUUUAUUCUGCUACAGGAGACCUGGUCGGUAGACGGUAUAACAAGUAAUGGGUUUGAAUCCUAUUCAAUCAAUGCAGAACCUCCAACCAAAGGAGGUUUAUCUAUCUUAAUCUCCAACAAGCUACGGCAAAGACAACACCCCUCCCCCACUUAAAGUCUGUAGCGGAUUGAUGAUGAUAAAUGGAAACUCUUACGUGUGCCUGCAAUCCAA